rnacentral:rRNA from 1 species
AUGAACGCUAGCGGGAGGCUUAACACAUGCAAGGUCAGGGGGUAACAGGGGUAGCAAUACCUGCUGACGACCGGCGUACGGGUGAGUAACGCGUAUGCAACCUGCCCUAUACAGGAGGAUAGCCCGGAGAAAUUCGGAUUAAUACUCCAUGUAGCAUUUUUUUCGCAUGAAUUAGAUGUUAAAGAUUUAUCGGUAUAGGAUGGGCAUGCGUCCCAUUAGCUAGUUGGUGAGGUAACGGCUCACCAAGGCAUCGAUGGGUAUGGGGUCUUAAAGGAUGGUCCCACACACUGGCACUGAGACACGGGCCAGACUCCUACGGGAGGCAGCAGUGAGGAAUAUUGGUCAAUGGGUGAGAGCCUGAACCAGCCAUCCCGCGUGCAGGAUGACGGUCCUAGUGAUUGUAAACUGCUUUUCUAUGAGAUGAAUAAGAAUUACGUGUAGUUCGAUGACCGUAUUAUAGGAAUAAGCAUCGGCUAACUCCGUG